rnacentral:rRNA from 1 species
AUUGAACGCUGGCGGAAUGCUUUACACAUGCAAGUCGAACGGCAGCACGGGGGCAACCCUGGUGGCGAGUGGCGAACGGGUGAGUAAUACAUCGGAACGUGCCCGGUCGUGGGGGAUAACGUAGCGAAAGUUACGCUAAUACCGCAUACGAUCUGAGGAUGAAAGCGGGGGACCUUCGGGCCUCGCGCGAUCGGAGCGGCCGAUGUCAGAUUAGGUAGUUGGUGGGGUAAAGGCCUACCAAGCCGACGAUCUGUAGCAGGUCUGAGAGGACGACCAGCCACACUGGGACUGAGACACGGCCCAGACUCCUACGGGAGGCAGCAGUGGGGAAUUUUGGACAAUGGGCGCAAGCCUGAUCCAGCCAUUCCGCGUGCAGGACGAAGGCCUUCGGGUUGUAAACUGCUUUUGUAUGGAACGAAAAGGCUCUGGCUAAUACCUGGGGCUCAUGACGGUACCGUAAGAAUAAGCACCGGCUAACUACGUG